UACGUAGGGGGCAAGCGUUGUCCGGAUUUAUUGGGCGUAAAGAGCGUGUAGGCGGCCUGGAAGGUCAGCUGUGAAAACUCGAGGCUCAACCUCGAGACGCCGGUGGAAACCAUCAGACUAGAGUCCGGAAGAGGAGAGUGGAAUUCCUGGUGUAGCGGUGAAAUGCGCAGAUAUCAGGAAGAACACCCGUGGCUAAGGCGGCUCUCUAGUACGGUACUGACGCUGAGACGCGAAAGCGUGGGGAGCGAACAGG
rnacentral:rRNA from 1 species